UACGUAGGUGGCAAGCGUUGUCCGGAUUUACUGGGCGUAAAGAGCGCGCAGGCGGUCGUUCAAGUCGCGUGUGAAAGCCCCCGGCUCAACUGGGGAGGGUCACGCGAUACUGAUCGACUCGAAGGCAGGAGAGGGAAGUGGAAUUCCUGGUGUAGCGGUGAAAUGCGUAGAUAUCAGGAGGAACACCUGUGGUGUAGACGGCUUACUGGACCAUGACUGACGCUGAGGCACGAAAGCGUGGGGAGCAAACAGG
rnacentral:rRNA from 1 species